GACGGAGGAUGCAAGCGUUAUCCGGAAUGAUUGGGCGUAAAGCGUCUGCAGGUGGCAGUUCAAGUCUGCUGUCAAAGACCAGGGCUUAACUUCGGAAAGGCAGUGGAAACUGAACAGCUAGAGUAUGGUAGGGGCAGAGGGAAUUCCCAGUGUAGCGGUGAAAUGCGUAGAUAUUGGGAGGAACACCAGUGGCGAAGGCGGCUUACUGGACCGGUUCUGACGCUGAGGCGCGAAAGCGUGGGGAGCAAACGGG
rnacentral:rRNA from 1 species